AGUGGUCAAGCGUUUAAGGGCACGUGGUGGAUGCCUAGGCGCUGGAGGCCGAAGAAGGGCGCGGCAAGGCUGCGAAAAGCCUCGGUUAGCUGCCUAGCGAG
rnacentral:rRNA from 1 species